UUCAACUUUAACCCAGAUAAUGCAAUCAGUUUACUAGGCUGACCAUGGCCUUCUCGCUUACUGGGUGCAUCAAAACGAAUGAAGCCAAGGGAUGUGAAAAACAAGGUUUUUACUGCCCAGAGGGAGGUAGGGGUCCAGUUCCAUGUCCUAGAGGAACAUUUGGACCAAGUUUUUGGGCCCAGUCUGUAAAUGACUGCAUCAGCUGCCCACCACAUCACUAUGGACCUAGAGAAGGCUUGAGCAAUUGCCUGCCCUGUGGGCCCUGGUCACAGCAGCCUCUGCUUGGACAGGACAGCUGUACAUGUCUGCGAGAGGGUCAAGUCUUCCAGGCCAGUGAUGGACAGUGUCCAUGUACUUUGGGAUACACACAGAAAGGAGAAGCCUGUGUGUUGAAGGUCUAUGAGAUCUGCAAGGAUGGAAGAGCACGAAACCAGCAUGGAGAAUGUCUGGACCACAAGCAAUGGAAGCAGCAUUGCUCCCAGCAGGUGUGUCUAUCUCCUGAGCUGUAUGAGGGCUAUGAUGGUUCCCUGGGCCUGUGUGCUUGCAGAGGGCUGUCCAGGCCUGAGCCAGACAGGGUUGAGUGUGUUGGCUGGUGCCGGAGCAACCUGAGUCCAAUUCUGCAGCUGGUUUGCACUGGAAGCCUUUACCUGCUCUACACUGAGUCUAAUCAACAGUGACUGUAUGAUUUUGAGAUCCACCUUUUCACACUGAGGACAAUUGAGGGACUGCUCCAGAAGAAAACACGAUACAUUAAGAGCCGAGGGGUGAAACAGGAC
ensembl:lncRNA